UUUUUGUUUUUUUUUAAUAUGCUAUCCAGCAGUUAUUCUUUAAAAAUUUAAUUUUAUUGAAGUAUAGUUGAUUUACAAUGUCUGUUAGUUUCGGGUCUAUAGCACAGUGACUCAGUUAUAUGUAUGCGUGUGUGUGUGUGUGUGUGUGUAUAAAACACAGAUAUGUGUGUGUGUGUGUGUGUAUUUUAUGUGUUUAAAAUCUGUUCAAUUCUUUUCCCUUAUAGGUUUUUACAAAAUACUGAGUAUAGUUCCCUGUGCUAUUCAAUAGGUCCUUAUUGGUUAUCUAUUUUAUAUAUCGUAACUUGUAUAUGUUAAUCCCAAGCUCUUAAUUUAUCCUUCCCCCUUUCCCCUUUGGUAAACGUAAAUUUAUUUUCUAUGUCUGUACAUCUGUUUCUGUUUGCUAAAUGAGAGUUGACAUUUUUACCGCUCUGAUUGGCUCAUUAUUUACAGAGAUAUCUACAUGAUUUCCCUUUUCUCUGAUAUUUUAUUCAUUUUCAGUAAUUUCUUCUUAAAUAAACAAAAAGUUCUUAUAUAAAAUGGAACAUACUGGGAAGAACGAUUCAAUGGUCAUAGCAUGGGCCAACAAAAAAUGGUAGCUCUCAUCCAUUUAGUCUAUUGAUGAGCCCUGCAGAGCCUGUUCAAGGUGUAUUCCCAUGUAGGACCCAGACUUCCUUGACCUUUGAAGUUCAUUGAUCUUUUAGUCUUGAUGUAAGUAAAUCUCACACUGAACUUCAAUGAAUUUUUAAAUAUCGAAUAUAUUCAUAGGCUGCCCAUACAGAAAAGGAAGUUUCUGGAAAACCAUGCUUAAAGAGACUCUCUAUGAGAAUCCUUUAAGAGUUUAAUAAUAAAAAUCAUUCUGAACAUUUACGUAAAACUCCUGAAAGCAGGCAUGAAAGGAGACCUUUAACCAACUAGUAGAACUUUCACUUUAAUUGAUCUGUAUUUCAGAUGAGGAAUUAGCAAAAAAAAAAAAAACCAAAAACCUAAAAACCCAGUCCCUGAUGCAAAGUCAAAUGAGGCUUUCAUGGCUAAAACAACAAACAACUUUCAGUAAUUCUUGAGUAGGGAAAAUGAUUUGCUUGAGUUAAGACCAUAUUCUUACUUAGCAGUGAAGGGAAGAAAGUAGGCAAUACUUUUUGCUUAUCUUUUCUUCCCUUUAGAAAUGGAGAAAACUCACCAAGGAAGAGAGGGCAAAUGUAUCCCUGAGAAAGGCAGUGCUACCUACUUAGCCCCAGAUGCAGCUGGAGGGGCUCGCAUGGAUGUCCAGGGCAUACAGCACGUUGAGGCUGAGUUCUGCUCCAACUUCCCACAUACUUCCAAGGCUAAAUUUGGGUUUGAGUUAAUCCUACCACUUUCUUUUCCAAAUCCUGUCCCAGAUUAAUAUUGUCACAGCAUCGCCCUCUCCAACCACCAAUGAUUUCUACCUUAGUAACAACAUUCCACAGUUCUCAAGAGUGACUGAGCCUUGAGCUGGACCAUACCACUGCGUUGCAUCAUGACAGCGAGAUGUGGGGACACCUCUCAGUCCGUGGGCUCCAAUGUGUCAGCUGCUGCACCUUUUACCCAACUGCUGCCUGUGGGUCAAAUGAACCAAAGUCACUCCUUCUAUCAGGGCAAGUCUUCACAAGUAUUUUCCUACUAAGUCUUUUCAUCUCUAAGAUUAUACUAGAGAAGCCAAAUGAAAUUACAAUUAAGAUCAUCAUCACUAAAUUCUCAAGAUUAAGUAGACUCCUUCUUUUUGUGGNUCCAUGUUAAAAAAAAAAUCAUCUGGGGAGUUCCCAUUGUGGCACAGUGGACAUGAACCUGACUAGUAUCCAUGAGGAUGUGGGUUCAAUCCCUGGCCUCUCUCACUGGGUCAGGGAUCUGGUGUGGCAGUGAGUGGUGGUGUAGGUUGCAGACAUGGCUCAGAUCUCAAGUUGCUGUGGCCGUGAUGUAGGCUGGCAGCUGUAGCUUCAUUUGGACCCCUAGCUUGGGAACUUCCAUACACUGCAGGUGCAGCCCUAAAAAGAAAAAAAAAAAA
rnacentral:lncRNA from 1 species